GUUCAAAUUACAGGGGGAAAAACUACAUAGUCUGACUGGCACUGAAUAAAGUACACUGUAAAAAAUUAUCGUGAUUUUAACGGUAAAAGACAGUAGAAAUGCCACUGCUGCUGGUGAUCACUUCGAUAUAUUCACGGUUCGCCCAGUCUUGAUGAAUUUCCCUUUGCACGGGAUCCUCCUGUCCGGCCAUCGUGAGCUAGUUAGCGUUAGCAUUAGCCGCUGACCGAGAGGAAGCAGCAGCAGCAGCAGCGCCCCCUGAUGGACAAACACAGCGUUCACUGGAGACUACGAGGAGACGAACGGGGGGAUGAUUUGAAAAUAAACACAAAUAUGCGAUUUAAAAAAAGUCUUUAAAUAAGUAAAAAAGAGAGUAUAUACAUUAUAGAAAUUGAAAACAAAAAUACAUUAUAUAAACGUUGUUUUUCGACUUGACUGAAAUCUCCCGAGCAAUGUCAAGCAAGUUAAGAAACUGUAGACGAAGCCUUGCUGCCGCUUUGGAUCAGGCAGCAGAAGAAGUUCCUAAUUUAUCAUCAUUGUCUCCAAACAACUGCAGCCUGAUUAGAAUAUCACAGGAUGACCCGAAUGAAGACUUUCAGUGCCACACACGGUCUGCAAACCUGCAAGAUCUUCAUGGGCUCCUUGAUGUACAGACCUUGGAGGAUCUUGUGGCAAAGCUGGAGUUUGAAAAUGAGCUGAACCGCGUCUACAGUAGAUUCCUGCAGAGUAAUGGAAAGAACACAGAAAAUGUGAAUAGCGAUGUGGAAGAGGAAAGCACAGGCCGCUGGGUUCACGAUAGUACGGAGGAAUAUUCCUUCUUGCUAGACAUGAUUCUUGAGAUUGAGCGGGACAGUGACUUCACUGCUGACUGUGAUGUCAGUGCUUUGGAGCGGGACUUACAGUUAUCACCAUAGUUUCAGUGCCCUCAACGAUUUAUAUGUUACACUUCUUUACAGUUAGAAGGAAACAGGGUUAUUUUCAAAAGAAAAGAUGAGCUACUAAAAAUGUUUGGCUACUUGGAACGUUGUACAGAUGUAUGUUUGUAUAGCAGAGUUUAUAGCAAUACAAUUUAUGCAUGUCAUUCUUAAUUACUACUUGUGUAAAUUAAUUCAUUUCUGCACUAGGAAUACACUGAUCUACAGCUGCUGUUAUCAAGCAGAAUCACUGAAGGAAAAAAAUAGAAACAAAACUGACUUCCAGCCACAGACUUUAAUUAACCAAAUUAACCAAAAUAAAACAGCAGCGGAUGAUUACA
ensembl:lncRNA